rnacentral:rRNA from 1 species
UACGAAGGGGGCUAGCGUUGCUCGGAAUCACUGGGCGUAAAGCGCACGUAGGCGGGUCGUUUAAGUCAGGGGUGAAAUCCUGGAGCUCAACUCCAGAACUGCCCUUGAUACUGGCGAUCUCGAGUUCGGGAGAGGUGAGUGGAACUGCGAGUGUAGAGGUGAAAUUCGUAGAUAUUCGCAAGAACACCAGUGGCGAAGGCGGCUCACUGGCCCGAUACUGACGCUGAGGUGCGAAAGCGUGGGGAGCAAACAGGGAUUAAGAAA